AGCUCCCCUAGUCUCUGCUCCCAUAUCUAAAUACUAGAGAACAUAUAAACUCCACCUCUUUUUGUUGCUGUUCCUCCAAAUGGCACUCACUCACAGUAAGCGUAGAGAGAGUGACUACACGUGCAAUGUCUAAAACUUGAGCUCUACUGAAGGAGAGAUCAGAGCCACAAAGGAUGGGAGGGAUAGAUUAAUCAGCAUGAGGUGCUCAGGCAGAGGCGACUGGUAACUGCUGAUAGUGGGAGGGCACAAUUUAAAGGUUCUGGUGUCAUGCAGCGGAGCUCAGGGCAGGUACUCGAGAUAAAGGAGUUUCGAUUUCUAGAGUUACUUUUGGUGUCAUGAUUUGCAAUACUACGUAAGAGCAGAUGGAGACAUUUCUAAAGAGCUGCACAUGAAGCAGUUCUGGAUUAUACUGCCAUAUUAUCAGUUUGAAGCAGUUCUCAACCAGGGGUGCAUGUACCCUUGUGGGUAUGCAGGUGUCUUCCAGGGGGUACAUCAUCAGCUCAUCUAGAUAUUACUGACUGAACAAGGAGUAAUGGUCUCAAGUUGCA